CCCUACUCCUACGGAGGCAGCAGUGGGGAAUAUUGCACAAUGGGCGCAAGCCUGAUGCAGCGACGCCGCGUGAGGGAUGACGGCCUUCGGGUUGUAAACCUCUUUCAGUAGGGAAGAAGCGAAAGUGACGGUACCUGCAGAAGAAGCGCCGGCUAACUACGUGCCAGCAGCCGCGGUAAUACGUAGGGCGCAAGCGUUAUCCGGAUUUAUUGGGCGUAAAGAGCUCGUAGGCGGUUUGUCGCGUCUGCCGUGAAAGUCCGAGGCUCAACCUCGGAUCUGCGGUGGGUACGGGCAGACUAGAGUGAUGUAGGGGAGACUGGAAUUCCUGGUGUAGCGGUGAAAUGCGCAGAUAUCAGGAGGAACACCGAUGGCGAAGGCAGGUCUCUGGGCAUUUACUGACGCUGAGGAGCGAAAGCAUGGGGAGCGAACAGGAUUAGAUACCCUGGUAGUCCAUGCCGUAAACGUUGGGCACUAGGUGUGGGGGACAUUCCACGUUUUCCGCGCCGUAGCUAACGCAUUAAGUGCCCCGCCUGGGGAGUACGGCCGCAAGGCUAAAACUCAAAGGAAUUGACGGGGGCCCGCACAAGCGGCGGAGCAUGCGGAUUAAUUCGAUGCAACGCGAAGAACCUUACCAAGGCUUGACAUGGCCAGACCGCCUCAGAGAUGGGGUACCCC
rnacentral:rRNA from 1 species